rnacentral:rRNA from 1 species
AGUGAACGCUGGCGGCAGGCCUAACACAUGCAAGUCGAGCGGCAGCGGGUCCCCGUGAGGGGAUGCCGGCGAGCGGCGGACGGGUGAGGAACACAUCGGAAUCUGCCUGGUUGUGGGGGAUAACGUAGGGAAACUUACGCUAAUACCGCAUGAGACCCUGAGUCGACGGACUGGGGGUGAAAGUGAGGGACCUUCGGGCCUCACGCGACCAGAUGAGCCGAUGUCGGAUUAGCUAGUUGGCGGGGUAACGGCCCGCCAAGGCGACGAUCCGUAGCUGGUCUGAGAGGAUGAUCAGCCACACUGGGACUGAGACACGGCCCAGACUCCUACGGGAGGCAGCAGU